GCAGAAGUGGUGGAAUUGGUAGACACGCUACUUUGAGGGGGUAGUGGUAGCAAUGCCGUGCGGGUUCAAGUCCCGCCUUCUGCACCA
rnacentral:tRNA from 1 species